UAGUGAGUUUGAUCCUGGCUCAGGAUGAACGCUGGCGGUCUGCUUAACACAUGCAAGUCGAACGCAAGUAGAAAUACUUGAGUGGCGGACGGGUGAGUAACGCGUGAGAAGUCUAGCCUUCUGGUACGGGACAACCACUGGAAACGUGGCUAAGUACCGGAUAUGCCUAUGGGUGAAAGAUUAAUUGCCAGAAGAAGAGCUACGCGUUCUGAUUAGCUAGUUGGAGA
rnacentral:rRNA from 1 species